CCGGGAUGGCAGCGCUGGCUGGCUCUACCCAGCUCUCCGUGUGACUAAGCCUGCGAAUGAGAACAAUUCUGGAUUCGGAGUGCCUGCGUGUCCCAGGGUGACGGAGGGAGACCUGGUUCCCACACCCUUGGGGGUGCGUCCCACCGGGAGGACAGAAGCCAUGGCACGGGAAGGAACAAAGAAGAGCCCCAAGAGGAAGGGGGGAGCCCCAAGAGGAAGGAGAGCGAUGCCGUGGGGAGAGUCCACAGCUGGGCAUCAGGGUGGGCACGGGCCACUGUGUGAGGACCACGAGGACCAGCUCUGUGCCAAGGGCCCAGUCUGCAGAUGUGGAGCUGUUUAAAAAGAAUAAAAACCCGGAGCAGAGACCUUUCUCGAGCCUGUCCUCUACCCACGCUGUCUGCUUUCUCCACGUCUUCCUGCCCUGGAAACUUGAAGGCAAUUCCUUUUACCUAAAAUUCCUUUUACCUUUCUACCUGUAAGAUAUCUUCCUGCAACUCUGAAGAGCUCCAAAGCGGCCAAAUCCUACCUCUCUGCCCACCAGAAAAGGCCCCGGUUGCCCUCAAGGCGAGCAGGAGUGGCGUUUGAAAGUUCCUUAAUCUUCCUAUGGCCCUGGGGACUAGGUCCCACUGGCAGUCCCCAUCCUGGGUCUGAGCUUUUGCAAAAGAGAGCUAAUAAUCCCCAUCCUCCUAGGUGAUGUAGAGAGGCAAUGAAAUUGACCAAGCACAGCUCUUGGCCCCGGGCCAUUAAACAGUAGCUGUUCUCAUGACGACUGUCAGCAUCGAGUGUGGAAGACAGGUGGGUCUAUACGGAUAGUGGAAGAUGCUGGGAUAGAGGUUUGAGCCAAGGAUCCCAGGAUCCCAGAGCUGGGAAGGUGUAGCAGGAAGCAAGGUGGCUUCCUAGGAAGACAGGUGCUUGAGCUGGGCUGUAAGAGCUGGAAUAGGGUUGUUGUAAAGAAGCCGUGGGUCGCAGGUGUGCCUGCUGAGCUGCAGAGCGCUGAUUGGUAGACUUUCUCUUAGGGAUGCCCCAGGUGAGAAGAAAGGACCCUGUGGGGCACAGGGGAAGAGGCUGGAAGUACUGAACCGGGUAACAGGGUCAGGAAAACAGUUUCUCUCUUUUAUUUGUUGAAGCCUAAUUUACAUAUAUCAAAUGCACAAUGAGGUUUUUUUUUAAUGCUUUUGCAAAACAAUGCUUUUGCUGCCUUAUUGAAGUAUAAUUGACAUAUAGUAAACUGCACAAAUUUAAAGUGUAGAUUUGUGGGGUGCCUGAGUGGCUCAGCGGGUUUAAGCCUCUGUCUUUGGCUCAGGUCAUGAUCCCAGGGAUCUGGGAUCGAACCCCGGAUAGGGCUCUCUGCUCAGUAGGGGGGGCCUCCCUCCCCCUCUCUCUGCCUGCCUUUCUGCCUACUUGUGAUCUCUGUCUGUCAAAUAAAUAAA